rnacentral:misc_RNA from 1 species
GAAAUGCGAUAAGUAGUGUGAAUUGCAGAAUUCAGUGAAUCAUCGAAUCUUUGAACGCACAUUGCGCCACUUGGUAUUCCAUGGGGCAUGCCUGUUCGAGCGUCAUUUGUACCCUCAAGCUCUGCUUGGUGUUGGGUGUUUGUCCCCGUCUCCGCGCGUGGACUCGCCCCAAAGUGAUUGGCAGCCGGCGUACUGGUCCCGGAGCGCAGCACAUGUCGCGCAAACGAGUGCCUUGGUACGGCGGCGUCCAUAAGCCCCUCUCUCACGCUCUUGACCUCGGAUCAGGUAGGGAUACCCGCUGAACUUAAGC